CGGACGGGUGAGUAAUGUCUGGGAAACUGCCUGAUGGAGGGGGAUAACUACUGGAAACGGUAGCUAAUACCGCAUAACGUCGCAAGACCAAGAGGGGGACCUUCGGGCCUCUUGCCAUCGGAUGUGCCCAGAUGGGAUUAGCUAGUAGGUGGGGUAACGGCUCACCUAGGCGACGAUCCCUAGCUGGUCUGAGAGGAUGACCAGCCACACUGGAACUGAGACACGGUCCAG
rnacentral:rRNA from 1 species